UGGAUCCAGACUUUGAUCCUGGCUCAGGAUGAACGCUGGCGGCGUGCCUAAUACAUGCAAGUCGAACGAAACUUCUUUAUCACCGAGUGCUUGCACUCACCGAUAAAGAGUUGAGUGGCGAACGGGUGAGUAACACGUGGGCAACCUGCCCGAAAGAGGGGGAUAACACUUGGAAACAGGUGCUAAUACCGCAUAACCAUGAAUACCGCAUGGUAUUUAUGUGAAAGGUGGUUUCGGCUACCGCUUUCGGAUGGGCCCGCGGCGCAUUAGCUAGUUGGUGGGGUAAAGGCUUACCAAGGCAAUGAUGCGUAGCCGAACUGAGAGGUUGAUCGGCCACAUUGGGACUGAGACACGGCCCAAACUCCUACGGGAGGCAGCAGUAGGGAAUCUUCCACAAUGGGCGAAAGCCUGAUGGAGCAACGCCGCGUGGGUGAAGAAGGCCUUCGGAUCGUAAAACCCUGUUGUCAGAGAAGAAAGUGCAUGAGAGUAACUGUUCAUGUUUCGACGGUAUCUGACCAGAAAGCCACGGCUAACUACGUGCCAGCAGCCGCGGUAAUACGUAGGUGGCAAGCGUUAUCCGGAUUUAUUGGGCGUAAAGGGAACGCAGGCGGUCUUUUAAGUCUGAUGUGAAAGCCUUCGGCUUAACCGGAGUAGUGCAUUGGAAACUGGGAGACUUGAGUGCAGAAGAGGAGAGUGGAACUCCAUGUGUAGCGGUGAAAUGCGUAGAUAUAUGGAAGAACACCAGUGGCGAAAGCGGCUCUCUGGUCUGUAACUGACGCUGAGGUUCGAAAGCGUGGGUAGCAAACAGGAUUAGAUACCCUGGUAGUCCACGCCGUAAACGAUGAAUGCUAAGUGUUGGAGGGUUUCCGCCCUUCAGUGCUGCAGUUAACACAAUAAGCAUUCCGCCUGGGGAGUACGACCGCAAGGUUGCAACUCAAAGGAAUUGACGGA
rnacentral:rRNA from 1 species